rnacentral:miRNA from 1 species
CUGUGGGCAAGGCUGGGAAGCAGCUUUCAUCCCAGCCUCCUGCUCAGCUCCGCCCCCGCCCACCCCA